UACGUAGGGUGCAAGCGUUAAUCGGAAUUACUGGGCGUAAAGCGUGCGCAGGCGGCUUUGCAAGACAGAUGUGAAAUCCCCGGGCUUAACCUGGGAACUGCAUUUGUGACUGCAUGGCUAGAGUGCGGCAGAGGGGGAUGGAAUUCCGCGUGUAGCAGUGAAAUGCGUAGAUAUGCGGAGGAACACCGAUGGCGAAGGCAGCCCCCUGGGCUAACACUGACGCUCAUGCACGAAAGCGUGGGGAGCAAACAGG
rnacentral:rRNA from 1 species